rnacentral:lncRNA from 1 species
AGUGGAAAUGACUAUGGACAUCCAGUGUCAUUUUAAAAACAACAUGGAUACAUGGAGUUUUGUCCUGGUUUGAAAUUGCUUGAUACACACACACACACACACACACACACACACACACACAUAUACACUUUUCUUUGAAUUGCCAUUAUGUCAGUGCUUAGGGGGAAAUAUGUACAUUUAUUUCCAGAACCCAGAAUUCACUAACAUAAAUGCUUGUAUCACAGAUCCCAUAAAGCACUGAGACAAUCCCUCCAAACUUGUGACUAGUCAGGAUUUUGUAAACAAAAUCAAAGUGGGUAAGCCCUUACUUUUGAUUUGUUAUGUAGACACUUAGCCUUGCAAAUCAUCAUUGCUUGGGAUCAAAGGAGAGACUCUGAGAACAUCUACUAUUUGUUAGCAAGCCGCCUGUGGUAAUCAGUUUAGAGCACAAUCACUCGGCCAAAAUGAACAGAAUUUUCACCAAAUCUCACCUCUCACCCAACCGAACUGGAGUAGCCCUUGAACUCUGAGCACUGCUCUCCAGGGCAACGUAACUGUGAGCCUAUGUUCAUCAAUGACAAGGCAUACACGCUCUCUCCACUUUUACUCUGUUUCAGUCUGAUUGUUAUGAUGUUGCUAUGGUGAUACCCUUCUGACAUUCCUUUGCUCUUUUGGUGCCCUCUCAGAGGAAUCUGUAAUGAAGUGGUCUGGCCACAGAAUCUUUCUGGGACUUUUCCCAUACACCACUGAAGACCAGCAUGACUUUCCUCUUCCAGGAAAUGAGACGUCACCCCAAGGGACAGUGGGUCUUCUGGAUUCAGUGUGGAGUGUAACACGCACUGAGAGCUGGGACAGCUUACUCUCCCAGGGGAGGGGCUGUGUGAGGGUGGCUGAGAAUGACUGGAAGGAGGAGGACACAGGUUUUUGAGCACUUACCUGAUAGCACUUAAAAUGACAGGUACUCUGCUAAGCACGUUACAUGAAGCCCUCCAUUGAGUCCGUACAAUUACGUGUGUCAUUUACCUCAUUUUAUGAAACGAAGUAAGCUGACU